rnacentral:rRNA from 1 species
UACGGGGGGGCAAGCGUUGUUCGGAAUUACUGGGCGUAAAGGGCUCGUAGGUGGCCAACUAAGUCAGACGUGAAAUCCCUCGGCUUAACCGGGGAACUGCGUCUGAUACUGGAUGGCUUGAGUUCGGGAGAGGGAUGCGGAAUUCCAGGUGUAGCGGUGAAAUGCGUAGAUAUGCGGAGGAACACCGAUGGCGAAGGCAGUCCCCUGGGCCUGUACUGACGCUCAUGCACGAAAGCGUGGGGAGCAAACAGG